rnacentral:lncRNA from 1 species
GCUGAGUUAGUUAGUUGUGUUAACUGGAUUGACAUCUCUGACCACUGGGGGGCGUGUUUGUGUUUACCGCAAGCACAGGAGCUUUAGAUCCCAGGUUUUCUUGCCACCGGGCAAAAAGCCAUUGGCCCGAAUUUGCAAAAUAAAAGACAGCAGACAACGUGCUGGCCUUUUUGCUGUUGGACAAGUUGAGAAACCCUGUGUGCUCCACCUGGGAUUAGAGGCAGGAACUGCUCUGUCUCCUAGUAGCGUCCCCCCAG